GUGCUUGCUUCAACAGCACAUAUACUAAAAUUGGAACAACACAGAGAAGAUUUGCACGGCUUCUGCACAAAGAUGACAUGCAAAUUUGUGAAGCAUUCCAUGUUUUU
ensembl:snRNA U6 U6 spliceosomal RNA